CUGAAUUCUGCCUCCACUGAACCCAGCGCUAAUAGGCUACAGCUGCCCUUGGUUGGGGGCCUCAUGCAAACCAGCAGGUUGUCUGGUUUCCUCUCACAGCAUGAACAUCAUGGCUUUGGCAUUUCAGGUCUCUUUUGCAGCUUCCAGGAUCCUCUCCUGCCCUGUUAGUUCUGGGGGCCUUGGGCCUCUCCCUAGUGAUUGAGCCUGGCCCCAGACAUGAACCCUCUGGGACUCCUUCACUUCUAGAGGCACCACCUCAGGGACCACCAUCUCUGAACCACUGAUGUACCCAACUCCUCCCGAAACCUCUGGACUCCUGAGGGGCCUUUACUGCAUCAAAGAACUUCUCCCUGCUGUCUUCCCAGCUCAUUCUACCACAAGGCCCUCAUGGGCCUGCGGGCUCUCGCCUCACUGUGGGCAACAGCAGAGUUGAUUCUCUGUUCCAAAAACCAGUCCUCUGGAAAUCUGAACCCAGUCCCUUUCACCUUACGAGGCAUGGCUUCCACAUCUUUUCACCUGACCACGUUAGUCUGCAACACUUGUUCAAGGCUCAGCAUCUGCCUUGAAAAAGUGAAUAGAGUCUCUUUUUUUUUUUUCUUUUUUUUCAGUAGAGAUGGGAUUUCACCAUGUUGGCCAGGCUGGUCUCAAACUCCUGACCUCAAGUGAUCCACCCGCCUUGGCCUCCCAAAGUGCUGGGAUUACAGGUGUGAGCCACCGUGCCUGGCCACCUCCCAUCUCUUCUAAACAGUGAUUCCCAGUUAGUGUCUUGCAAGAGGGGCAUUUUCCUUGAAUUACCUUCCCACCUAUUUAAUGCCCAGCUAAUUCAGAAGAGUCAAGACCAAAGUCCUUGGCACAUUUUGCCCCCAAUAGUGCCCAACUAUCAAGCUUACCACUAUCAGAACUUGAUCCUGCAUUUUCUUUACAAUUUUAAAGGAAUGCAUCCAGAUUUGACAAAUUUCAGGAGUUGCUGAAAUAAGGAGUCCACUGUGAACUCAGUUUAAAAACUGAGUGUCUGCAGUGAGAAGUUAACUGCAAUAAAUUAUGUUGUGUUCACUAAGAAAAUACACAUUUCUUUCAGUUCUGAGAAGACAAAAGUUAAUUGUACUUCCCUGAAAAUUCUGUGUAUGCUAAAAGAAUGUUUUCUCUGGGAAUGAGUGAUAUGUGCUGCGCUGCCUGAUGUACUGCUGUUAGGGAGGGAAAUGUAGAGGCUGUAGGUAAAUGCACUGUCUCUAGGCAGAAACUCACAGAUGGGAUGUGACAUAUUCCUCCCUCAGCAAAGACAUCUUUAUGCAGGUCACUUUAGCUGGACAACAAAGUGUAGGGGAAAUCUGGAGUUUCCAGGAGAGAAAGACCAAGCAUCAUUAAUGCUUACCUGUGUAGGUUAAAAUCUCUGUCUGACAUUCUCUCUAGCUCCACCUCCUACACCCACCACUAACACUCAGCUAGAAGAAAAGGAGCUGCCAAAGGAGAUGAGGUGUCUUCACUGGCUGGGUCAGCAGAAAGAUGAAACAUGCACAGACUCAGACUUAGACUAAGUAUAUAUUUUAAUUUCUACAAGGUCCCCUUUCAAGUUUUAGGGAAAUUUAACUGAAGUGUAUACAAAUUAGACAUUGCUAAUAUGUACAAAAGUAUUUUAUACAGUUUUUGAACAAUACUAGCUAUUUGCAAUAAACAAGAUGUUACAAAAACAGUCCAA